rnacentral:rRNA from 1 species
GACGAACGCUGGCGGCGUGCUUAACACAUGCAAGUCGAACGGAAAGGCCCUGCUCUUGUGGGGUGCUCGAGUGGCGAACGGGUGAGUAACACGUGAGUAACCUGCCCUUGACUUUGGGAUAACUUUAGGAAACUGGGGCUAUUACCGGGUAGGAGCUCCUGCUGCAUGGUGGGGGUUGGAAAGAUUCGGCGGUUGGGGAUGGACUCGCGGCUUAUCAGCUUGUUGGUGGGGUAGUGGCUUACCAAGGCUUUGACGGGUAGCCGGCAUUGGAGGGUGACCGGCCACAUUGGGACUAAGGGACGCAGCAGACGCGUAUCGUACGCAACAGGGGGAAAUAUUACGGAGUAAGGCGGAGUGAGUUGUGACGGUCCUGCGUGCGGAAAAACGUGCUACGAGUGAUGAACCGCUGUGGCAGUUAACGUGGAGAGCGUGACGGUAAUUAGUAAGAAAGCAACGGCUAACUACGUG